ensembl:snRNA U6 U6 spliceosomal RNA
GAAAUCUUCAGUAGCACAUAUACUACAAUUGGAAUGAUAAACAGAAGACUAGCAUGGCCCCCUACACAAGACAUGACAAUUCUUGAGGCAUUCCAUAUUUUU